rnacentral:rRNA from 1 species
GACGAACGCUGGCGGCGUGCUUAACACAUGCAAGUCGAACGGAAAGGCCCUGCUUUUGUGGGGUGCUCGAGUGGCGAACGGGUGAGUAACACGUGAGUAACCUGCCCUUGACUUUGGGAUAACUUCAGGAAACUGGGGCUAAUACCGGAUAGGAGCUCCUGCUGCAUGGUGGGGGUUGGAAAGUUUCGGCGGUUGGGGAUGGACUCGCGGCUUAUCAGCUUGUUGGUGGGGUAGUGGCUUACCAAGGCUUUGACGGGUAGCCGGCCUGAGAGGGGGACCGGCCACAUGGGGACUGGGAUACGGCCCAGACUCCUACGGGAGGCAGCAGUGGGGAAUAUUGCACAAUGGGCGGAAGCCGGAUGAAGCAACGCCGCGUGCGGGAUGACGGCCUUCGGGUUGUAAACCGCUUUCGCCUGUGACGAAGCGUGAGUGACGGUAAUGGGUAAAGAAGCACCGGCUAACUACGUG